rnacentral:rRNA from 1 species
AGCCAGACUCCUACGGGAGGCAGCAGUGGGGGAUAUUGCACAAUGGGGGAAACCCUGAUGCAGCGACGCCGCGUGGACGAAGAAGUAUUUCGGUAUGUAAAGUCCUAUCAGCAGGGAAGAAGAAAUGACGGUACCUGACUAAGAAGCCCCGGCUAACUACGUGCCAGCAGCCGCGGUAAUACGUAGGGGGCAAGCGUUAUCCGGAUUUACUGGGUGUAAAGGGAGCGCAGGCGGCAGCGCAAGUCUGAUGUGAAAGCCCGGGGCCCAACCGCGGGACUGCAUUGGAAACUGCGCAGCUGGAGUGCCGGAGGGGUAAGCGGAAUUCCUAGUGUAGCGGUGAAAUGCGUAGAUAUUAGGAGGAACACCAGUGGCGAAGGCGGCUUACUGGACGGCAACUGACGCUGAGGCUCGAAAGCGUGGGGAGCAAACAGGAUUAGAUACCCCCGUACC